AAAGGAAUAGACGGGGGCCCGCACAAGCGGUGGAGCAUGUGGUUUAAUUCGAAGCAACGCGAAGAACCUUACCAGGGCUUGACAUCUACCUGAAGGCUUAUGGAAACAUAGGUUGUUCUUCGGAACGGGUAGACAGGUGGUGCAUGGUUGUCGUCAGCUCGUGUCGUGAGAUGUUGGGUUAAGUCCCGCAACGAGCGCAACCCUUAUUUUUAGUUGCCAGCGCGUUAAGGUGGGCACUCUAAGGAGACUGCCGGUGACAAACCGGAGGAAGGUGGGGAUGACGUCAAAUCAUCAUGCCCUUUAUGUUCUGGGCUACACACGUGCUACAAUGGUCUGCACAGCGGGUUUGCGAUGUCGUGAGGCGGAGCUAAUCCCUUAAAGCAGGUCUCAGUUCGGAUUGCAGGCUGCAACUCGCCUGCAUGAAGUCGGAAUCGCUAGUAAUCGCGAAUCAGCACGUCGCGGUGAAUACGUUCCCGGGCCUUGUACACACCGCCCGU
rnacentral:rRNA from 1 species